rnacentral:rRNA from 1 species
AUACGUAGGUGGCGAGCGUUGUCCGGAUUUACUGGGCGUAAAGGGAGCGUAGGCGGAUUUUUAAGUGAGAUGUGAAAUACUCGGGCUUAACCUGAGUGCUGCAUUUCAAACUGGAAGUCUAGAGUGCAGGAGAGGAGAAGGGAAUUCCUAGUGUAGCGGUGAAAUGCGUAGAGAUUAGGAAGAACACCAGUGGCGAAGGCGCUUCUCUGGACUGUAACUGACGCUGAGGCUCGAAAGCGUGGGGAGCAAACAGGAUUAGAUACCCUGUGUAGUCCACGCCGUAAACGAUGAAUACUAGGUGUAGGGGUUGUCAUGACCUCUGUGCCGCCGCUAACGCAUUAAGUAUUCCGCCUGGGGAGUACGGUCGCAAGAUUAAAACUCAAAGGAAUUGACGGGGGCCCGCACAAGCAGCGGAGCAUGUGGUUUAAUUCGAAGCAACGCGAAGAACCUUACCUAGACUUGACAUCUCCUGCAUUACUCUUAAUCGAGGAAGUCUCUUCGGGGACAGGAUGACAGGUGGUGCAUGGUUGUCGUCAGCUCGUGUCGUGAGAUGUUGGGUUAAGUCCCGCAACGAGCGCAACCCUUAUUGUUAGUUGCCAUCAUUCAGUUGGGCACUCUAGCGAGACUGCCGGUAAUAAACCGGAGGAAGGUGGGGAUGACGUCAAAUCAUCAUGCCCCUUAUGACCUGGGCUACACACGUGCUACAAUGGUUGGUACAACGAGUCGCAAGUCGGUGACGGCAAGCAAAUCUCUUAAAGCCAAUCUCAGUUCGGAUUGUAGGCUGCAACUCGCCUACAUGAAGUCGGAAUCGCUAGUAAUCGCGGAUCAGCACGCCGCGGUGAUACGUUCCCGG